GUGAAUCAUCAAAUUUUUGAACGCAUAUUGCACUCUCUGGUAUUCCGGAGAGUAUGCCUGUUUGAGGGUAAUUAAAAAGAAUCUUUAACCAAUUUUUUUUGGUCAAAGGAAGUGAGUUCUCCGCGUUUAUAGCGGUAGCUUGGACUAAAUGGUCACGUCUCAUGUAGUCGAGACGCGUAGUAAUAUUAUUUCGCGAAAUCUUCAUUAUGUGACUAUCAAGUUUUGACGCUUACAUAUUUGGUUUGUUUGCGAUCGAUACAAAU
rnacentral:misc_RNA from 1 species